rnacentral:rRNA from 1 species
AGGUUUGUUCAAAAUCUAAUACCUUCCCUGGUGUAAAACAUGCAGAUACCGUCGUAGUCUCUACUAUAAACGAUGCCGACCAGGGAUUCGAAGAAGUUACAUGAAUGACUCCUCGAGCACCUUGUGAGAAAUCAUAAGUGUUUGGGUUCCGGGGGGAGUAUGGCCGCAAGACUGAAACUUAAAGGAAUUGACGGAAGGGCACCACAAGGCGUGGAACCUGCGGCUUAAUUUGACUCAACACGGGAAAACUUACCAAGUCCAGACACAGUAAGGAUUGACAGAUUAAGAGCUCUUUCUUGAUUCUGUGGGUGGUGGUGCAUGGCCGUACUUAGUUGGUGGAGUGAUUUGGCUGGUUAAUUCCGUUAACGAACGAGACCUUAACCUACUAAAUAGUCGACGUUAUCUUCGGAUAGGCGUGCAGACUUCUUAGAGGGACUAUUCGAUUUUUGUGCGAAUGGUAGCGUAAGGCAAUAACAGGUCUGUGAUGCCCAA